rnacentral:rRNA from 1 species
AUUCCAGCUCCAAUAGCGUAUAUUAAAGUUGUUGCAGUUAAAGAGCUCGUAGUUGAAUCUGUGGUGGUACCUGGGGUCCUAAAUGUUUUGGUUCCUUGGGCACUGCCUUCAUUGGGUCGAACCUGUGAGGCAUUAGGUUGUUUCAUGGGGGAUGCUUGUCAUUUACUGUGAAAAAAUUAGAGUGUUCAAAGCAGGCUUAUGCCAUUGAAUAGAUUAGCAUGGAAUAAUAAGAUAGGACUUGGGUACUAUUUUGUUGGUUUGUGUGCCAGAGUAAUGAUUAAUAGGGACAGUUGGGGGUAUUCGUAUUCCAUUGUCAGAGGUGAAAUUCUUGGAUUUUUGGAAGACGAACUACUGCGAAAGCAUUUACCAAGGAUGUUUUC